CCCCUCCAAAGCAAUCCUAUCGUCGCAUAGCACUUUCAAGAUUCCUCCAUCAGCUACUGUCCUGUAGCUUCUUGAAUCCAGUCUGCUCAGUGAGAUAAGAUUCUAUCUAAAAUUGGGUAUGUAUCAGACCUCCCCUAAUCUCCUCACUACACCAUCAUGUAUCCUCCAACUGACCAUCUCGAUGCCUCUGAUCGCACAGCUCGAUCC
rnacentral:lncRNA from 1 species